rnacentral:rRNA from 1 species
GUGCCAGCAGCCGCGGUAAUACGUAGGGUGCAAGCGUUAAUCGGAAUUACUGGGCGUAAAGCGUGCGCGGGCGGUUUUGUAAGUCUGUCGUGAAAUCCCCGGGCUCAACCUGGGAAUUGCGAUGGAGACUGCAAGGCUAGAAUCUGGCAGAGGGGGGUAGAAUUCCACGUGUAGCAGUGAAAUGCGUAGAGAUGUGGAGGAACACCGAUGGCGAAGGCAGCCCCCUGGGUCAAGAUCGACGCUCAUGCACGAAAGCGUGGGGAGCAAACAGGAUUAGAUACCCUGGUAGUCCCCGCCCUAAACGAUGUCUACUAGUUGUCGGGUUUUAAUUAACUUGGUAACGCAGCUAACGCGUGAAGUAGACCGCCUGGGGAGUACGGUCGCAAGAUUAAAACUUAAAUGAAUUGACGGGG